GUCUACGGCCAUGCCACCCUGAACAAGCCCGGUUUGGCCUGGUUAGUAUUUGGAUGGGAGAUCACCUAGGAAGACCAGGUGCUGUAGGCA
rnacentral:rRNA from 1 species